UGCGUAGGCGGCCGCUUAAGUAGGGUGUGAAAUGUCCCGGCUCAACCGGGGAAUGGCGCUCUAAACUGGGUGGCUCGAGUGAGAUAGAGGUGUGCGGAACUUCCGGUGGAGCGGUGAAAUGUGUUGAUAUCGGAGGGAACACCAUUGGCGAAAGCGGCACACUGGGUCUUAACUGACGCUGAGGCACGAAAGCCAGGGGAAGCAAACG
rnacentral:rRNA from 1 species